UUUUUUGGCCAUAGGGCACAGUGUGUGGGAUGUUAGUUUCUGACCAGGGAUCAAACACGUGCCUGCUGCAUUGGAAGCUUGGAGCCUUAAGCACUGGACUGCCAGGGAAGUCCCUGUUUUGUUCCCUUUGAUACCCCCAGUGCCGUAUGAAGCACAUUGUGGGCAUUGUAGUGGAACACUUGCUAAAGAAAUGAAUAAGGGCAGAAAUGGAGAGUAAGCAAAUCUAAGAGUACUGCAUCCAAGGUCAUGUUGCAAACACUGAACUCCUUUCUAUCCUUUCCCCAUUAGCCAGUGUGGUCCCCUGUCGCCUCAAUCCUCAGCAGCUGCAGCAUCACCUGAAAGAUGAUUGGAAAUGUAGCAUCUCGGCCUGCUUCAGAUCUACCGAAUCAGCACCAGCAGUUCAACAAGACCCACAGGUCUAAAAAUGUAAAAUACAUUUUAUAGAAGUCACUGGUGAAAUAUCAAAGACAAGGCUGAAUAAGCAUAGAGGCUGGAGGACAUCACUAACUAGGGAUGUUUGGUUUUCUGGGAGAACAGUUACACACACACUAGAGAGCCUUAUUGAAAUACUAACUGCAAACUAAUGAAGAUACUUCAAGGAUCUAUAAUGGGAACUUGGUACUCAAUAGACAAAUGCCAUUCAGGAAAACACCAUUGAAUAUCCACUAUGUUUGUGGUCCUCCAUUUUGGCUGACCAUUGGAUUACCCAG
ensembl:lncRNA